rnacentral:rRNA from 1 species
ACGAACGCUGGCGGCAUGCCUAACACAUGCAAGUCGAACGAGACCUUCGGGUCUAGUGGCGCACGGGUGCGUAACGCGUGGGAACCUGCCCUUAGGUUCGGAAUAACUCCCCGAAAGGGGUGCUAAUACCGGAUAAUGUCUUCGGACCAAAGAUUUAUCGCCUUUGGAUGGGCCCGCGUUGGAUUAGCUAGUUGGUAGGGUAAAAGCCUACCAAGGCGACGAUCCAUAGCUUGUCUGAGAGGAUGAUCAGCCACACUGGGACUGAGACACGGCCCAGACUCCUACGGGAGGCAGCAGUGGGGAAUAUUGGACAAUGGGCGAAAGCCUGAUCCAGCAAUGCCGCGUGAGUGAUGAAGGCCUUAGGGUUGUAAAGCUCUUUUACCCGGGAUGAUAAUGACAGUACCGGGAGAAUAAGCUCCGGCUAACUCCGUG